rnacentral:lncRNA from 1 species
UUGUUGCUGAACCUCAGCCUCACCCUGACAAGUACCAACCACUUGUGAUCAGAUGGUGGAUUGUUGGCCCAGGACCAACAAGUAGUAUCAAUGCUUUGCUACAUGCCAAAAACUAGCUUAAGAAAUAAGGGAUUUUCUUUACUUUUAAGUUAGUAUAACUCAUCCUAAAUUUUUAAUGUAGAAUUGUUCCAACAUGGAUCAUCCUCAUGAGAAGCGAAGUUGCAGCCCUCGUAAUCCUGAUAACUUCCAAUCCUAUAUAUGUUCUCUAGGCAAAAGCAUAACAACUUGAAACUAUAACUCGCUUUGCAAAUUUAAACUUUUGAGGGCAGGGAAAUGUGUAUUCUGAAAUUAGGUGACAUCAGGUAAGUGUGGUCUAAAAUGAUGAACUAAACCAGCAGCAGAAGUAACCUUGUAGCUGCACAGUGCAAACUGAAUUUCAAGACCUGCAAAAUCUGAAAGGAAUGGACCGUACUUUUUUUUUGACAA